rnacentral:rRNA from 1 species
GACGAACGCUGGCGGCGUGCUUAACACAUGCAAGUCGAACGGAAAGGCCCUGCUUUUGUGGGGUGCUCGAGUGGCGAACGGGUGAGUAACACGUGAGUAACCUGCCCUUGACUUUGGGAUAACUUCGGGAAACUGGGGCUAAUACCGGAUAGGAGCUCCUGCUGCAUGGUGGGGGUUGGAAAGUUUCGGCGGUUGGGGAUGGACUCGCGGCUUAUCAGCUUGUUGGUGGGGUAGUGGCUUACCAAGGCUUUGACGGGUAGCCGGCCUGAGAGGGUGACCGGCCACAUUGGGACUGAGAUACGGCCCAGACUCCUACGGGAGGCAGCAGUGGGGAAUAUUGCACAAUGGGCGGAAGCCUGAUGCAGCAACGCCGCGUGCGGGAUGACGGCCUUCGGGUUGUAAACCGCUUUCGCCUGUGGCGAAGCGUGAGUGACGGUAAUGGGUAAAGAAGCACCGGCUAACUACGUG